rnacentral:rRNA from 1 species
UAAAGCGGUACGCGAGCUGGGUUUAGAACGUCGUGAGACAGUUCGGUCCCUAUCCACCGUGGGCGUAAGAGACUUGAGAGAGGCUGUCCCUAGUACGAGAGGACCGGGAUGGACGAACCUCUGGUGUACCAGUUGUCACGCCAGUGGCACCGCUGGUUAGCUACGUUCGGUUUGGAUAACCGCUGAAAGCAUCUAAGCGGGAAGCCAAUCUCAAGAUGAGGUCUCUCACUGGGUUAACCAGGUAAGGCCCCUCGUAGACUACGAGGUUGAUAGGCUGCAGGUGUAAGCGCAGUAAUGUGCUCAGCCGAGCAGUACUAAUAGGCCGAGGUCUUGAUCUCAUUC